AUUCCUUGUCGGGUAAGUUCCGACCUGCACGAAUGGCGUAACGAUGGCCACACUGUCUCCUCCUGGGACUCAGCGAAGUUGAAAUGUUUGUGAAGAUGCAAUCUCCCCGCGGCUAGACGGAAAGACCCCGUGCACCUUUACUGUAGCUUUACAUUGGACUUUGAUAACACUUGUGUAGGAUAGGUGGGAGGCUUUGAAGUGGAUUCGCUAGAAUUCAUGGAGCCAUCCUUGAAAUACCACCUGGUGUUGUUGAGGUUCUAACCUAAAUCCAUUAUCUGGAUUGGGGACCGUGUAUGGUAGGCAGUUUGACUGGGGCGGUCUCCUCCCAAAUUGUAACGGAGGAGUACGAAGGUACGCUAGGUACGGUCGGAAAUCGUGCUGAUAGUGCAAUGGCAAAAAGCGUGCUUAACUGCGAGACUGACAAGUCGAGCAGGUGCGAAAGCAGGUCAUAGUGAUCCGGUGGUUCUGUAUGGAAGGGCCAUCGCUCAACGGAUAAAAAGGUACGCCGGGGAUAACAGGCUGAUUCCU
rnacentral:rRNA from 1 species